rfam:Tupaia belangeri cont1.645883, whole genome shotgun sequence.
CUCACGCUCCCGCAGGGCUCAGCAUCCCCGGGGCCUGGCCUGAUCUUCCUGGGCCGCUGGUCUACAGGGCAGAACGCCCUCUUCAGGGGUGCCUACACUGCAGGCCU